rnacentral:misc_RNA from 1 species
UCUGUUGUUGUCGCGUAUUGAUGGCGCAGUGGUCGCGCAGCGAAUUUUCUGGGAAACAGGAUGCGCUGUCUGCUUUGUUCCUUGUGACGGUGUAGUUAAUGUGUCACUAUUGCUGUUAAGUUUCGUUUGUGAUAUUUUGAGAACAGGAUGUCUUCUAGUUCUACUAAAAUAAUGCGUGGAAGUGUGCGGAGAUCCAAGAGGAGAUCGGCAAAACGUCCUUGUCCUGCCAAUGAAGAUGACGCCUCCGGCUCCGUUACCUCGGUGGAGAGGCCCGGCCGCGGCUACCUGCCCAAUCCGGCCGGCGGCCGCCUCAGUCCCGAACAGAUGGAGUCGCUGUUCCGUCUGCCGUUCCCCAAUGAGCUGGAGCUGGACAACUUCCUGCGGCCGGUGUCGCCCAGCGCGCCGUCCGAGGCCGGCCCGGCCGUGCCGCACAGUCACCGGCUGCGCAACGCCAAGUCGCCGCCGCCGGGGCCCAGCGGCCACCUGGCCGCCUACCCGGGCCCGCGGCCGGCCCGGCGCAGCUCCACAGACGAGGACAGCUGUGACCCGAUGGGCGAGGACCUGUCUCUGGCCGGCUCGGCGGCCGCCGCCGCCUACCAUCUGCGCCACCGGUCGCCCACGCCCGGACCCAGCGGCGCGUGCACGCCCUCGUGCGGCGCCGCCAGCCGCGACCCCACCCUGCUGCCCUACAGAAAACGGCCCCGCAAGGGAUCCCUGGUGGAAACGGCCACCGAGAAGAGCGUGGCAGCGCAGUACCUGCUGUACGAGCUGCCUGACGAGGUGCUGGUCACCAUCUUCUCCUACCUGCACGAAUGUGACCUGUGCCGCGCCGCGCGCGUCUGCCGCCGCUUCUACAAGAUCGCCAACGACCUGGGACUCUGGAAAACCCUGUACCAGAACGUGUUCGAGUACGACCGUCCGCUGCUGCACCCGGCCCCGUGCGAGUUCGAGUUCGUCAACCCCGACGACUGCGAGCUCGAAAACCCGUGGAAGGAGAGCUUCCGCCAGCUGUGCUACGGCGUGCACGUGCGGCCCGGCUGGGAGGCGCGCGUGCCGCCGCCGCCGCCGGCCGGCCGCGCCCGCUCCUCGCGCGUCGCCUACGCCGAGACGGUGGAGUCUGCGGUGGAACAGAGCGAGCGACCCGGCGCGCCGGCCAACCCGCUCAUCUUCAUCCACACGGGCCACUACAUGCGCCAGUCGCUGGUCAUCAAGUCGAACGUGCAGCUAAUCGGCGCCGCGGCCGGCAAUGUGGCCAAACACGUCAUCAUCGAACACGGAAACGAGUCGACGCUCAAGUUCGGCAAGGGCGCGCGCCAGGCCUACGUGGGCUACGUGACGCUGCAGUUCGUGCCUGACAACGAGUCCUCGCACCUGAAGCACUACAGUCUGGAGGUGGUGGCCAACGCGGCGCCCAGCGGCGAGCACUGCUCCCCGGCGGCCGACCAGUGUUCUCCCACCGUGGACCAUUGCGUGGUGCGCAGCCGGUCGCUGGUUGGAGCCGCCGUGUGUGUCAGCGGCGCCCGCGCCGAGCCCAUAGUGCGCCACUGUGACAUUUCCGAGUGCGAGAACGUCGGUCUGUACAUCACUGACUAUGCGCAGGGCGUGUACGAGGACAAUGAGAUCAGCAAGAACCUGCUGGCAGGUAUCUGGGUGAAGAACCACGCCAACCCGGUGAUGCGGCGCAACCACAUCCACCACGGCCGGGACGUGGGCAUCUUCACCUUCAAUAACGGACAGGGGUACUUCGAGGCCAACGAUAUCCACGCCAACCGGAUCGCCGGCUUCGAGGUGAAGGCGGGCGCCAACCCGACGGUGGUGCGCUGCGACAUCCACCAUGGCCAGACGGGCGGCAUCUACGUGCACGAGAACGGGCUGGGCCAGUUCCUGGAGAACCGCAUCCACUCCAACUCGUACGCCGGCGUGUGGAUUACGGCCAACAGUAACCCGACCAUCCGCAAGAACGAGAUCUACAACGGCCAGCAGGGCGGCGUGUACAUCUUCAGCGACGGCCGCGGCCUCAUCGAGCACAACAACAUCUACGGCAACCAGCUGGCCGGUAUCCAGAUCCGCACCAACAGCUGUCCGAUCGUGCGCCACAAUCGGAUCCACCACGGCGAGCACGGCGGCAUCUACGUGCACGAGCGCGGCCAGGGCCUGAUCGAGGAGAACGAGGUGUUCAGCAACAAACUGGCCGGCGUGUGGAUCACCACGGGCAGCGCGCCCGUGCUGCGCAGAAACCGCAUCCACUCGGGAAAACAGGUGGGUGUCUACUUCUACGACAGCGGCCACGGCCAGCUGGAAGACAACGAGAUCUUCAACCACCUUUACUCGGGCGUGCAGAUCCGCACCAGCAGCAACCCGACGAUCCGGCGCAACAAGAUCUGGGGCGGCCAGAACGGCGGCGUGCUCGUCUACAACUCGGGCCUCGGCGAGCUCGAGCAGAACGAGAUCUUCGACAACGCCAUGGCCGGCGUCUGGAUCAAGACUGGCAGCAACCCGACGCUGCGCAGAAACAAAAUCUACGACGGACGCGAGGGCGGCAUCUGUAUCUUCCAGCGCGGAAAGGGCAUCCUGGAAGAGAACGAGAUAUUCCGUAACGUUCAGGCCGGCGUGCUGGUGUCGAACGACUCGCACCCGAUCCUGCGCCGGAACCUCAUCUUUGACGGCAUGGCGGCUGGCAUAGAGAUCACCAACCGCGCCACGGCCACCCUCGAGGCCAACAAGAUCUUCAACAACCGCUUCGGCGGCCUCUGCUUGGCCACCGGCGUCACGCCCAUCAUGAAAGGCAACAAGAUCUUCGACAACCAGGAUAUGGUGGAAAAGGCCAUCGAGGCCGGCCAGUGUCUGUACAAGAUUUCCAGCAACACGUCGUUCCCCAUGCACGACUUCUACCGGUGCAAGACGUGCAACACCACGGAAAAGAACGCCAUCUGCGUCAACUGUAUCAAAAUCUGCCACGCCGGCCACAGCGUCGAGUACAUUCGGCAUGAUCGGUUCUUCUGCGACUGCGGCGCGCGCGGCCUGCGCAACCCCUGCCAGCUGCAGGGCGAGCCCACCCAGGACUCGGACACGCUCUACGACUCGGCGCAGCCCAGCGAGUCGCAUACGCUGAAAUACAACGACAACUAGCCGGCAGAGCCCAGUGAUACACAACAAAUAUGGCACUAUUGUAUAUUAUAGUCGGCUGGCCGGCCGGCGCGCGACGCCAGCGCCGCGCUGCGGCGGGUGUCCGAAACUGUCGUUCGCCCGGUGGCUACCAGGCCGCGCGGCGGCAGAGACUUCUAGGUUUUUGAAUCGGAGGACAGCAGUGAGAGCCGCGGUGAGCGCCGGCGCCGCCCCAGUGAGAGAGCAGUGAGAUGGUGAGAGGACGUGUCCGCCGGACAGGGCUUCCAGAUGACCCAGACGCGGCGAGGUCUCAGAGACUCGUGCGGGCGGCCCCGCGGGGUGCCUGGACCCGGCGCCGGCCCGGCGGCCGCUCCACCGCUGGUGAUUGGCACGGACUGAACGCUGACGUGCCUCGGCGGCGGGCGCACCGCAGUGCUGCGCGGUCCGGUCCACCGGGGGACCCGCUGGCGGUCCCGGCAGUGUAACCCGGCGACUGGCGGAGCUGUGUGAGCGACUGGCCGUGUGAGCGACUGGCACUCGUGUGGCGCCCGCUGGAUCCCGGUCAGAUGCGGGCCGGGUCCGGAGAGGUCUGUGAUUGGCGGUCCGCCGCCCCUGCCGCUGCCGCUGUCGCUGGCAGCGAGGCAGCUCUCGGCCCGGCGUGGAGCGCCGGCGGCGCGGCAGGCCCGCUGGGCCCUGUCGGAGCCCGGCGCCGCCGGCAGGAGGUGUUACACGCCGCGCUCAGCGCUGCGGCCGCGCUGAUGACAAUAACAGUGUUCACGUGACCCGCCGGCGUCGCGGAGAGUGAGUGGAUCGGUUUUGUUGGCACCCACGAGGGCGGAUCAUGCUGUAGGUAAUUGUUCUUAUGAUCUGGGGCGGUUGGACGCGAGAGGUCUGUGUUUCGUUCCUCAAAGAGAUGUCGACUCGCCACCAGCGAAUGGCGAAGACUGACUUAUGCGACAAGUCAUCGCUUUUGCGAGCGUCGCCGAAUCCCGGCGCUGGCCGGCCGACAUUUAUAUUCUUAUGUGGCAAAACGUCCCGAGUUGUAUGGCUCCGUGCAUAGAACUUACAUUUUCAUUGUGAGAACAGUUUAUUGCGUGCUUUGCCAGUCUUGUCCCGUAAAUGCCGGCAAUGAGUUUUCACGGCUGCUUUGGAGCGAAAAUUGGUCGUAGUGCGUUUUUCUGUGUUGCCGGGGAGUUUCUGUCGGGCCCGAACCGGUCCCCAGUGGCGCGGCGGUCGCGGACAUGACACCGGGGGCGGGUCCGCCGGGGACUGGGUGUCCCCGCCCCCGCCCCCGCCCCCGCCCGGCGCCCGGCGCCCGCCUGUGUUGGUGUUGCUCGUGUCUCCGUAUGAUGUGCGUGCCCGUGGUGACACCAGUGAAACGUAACUCUCCUCUCUCUCUCCCCGCACCUCUGUCUGUCCCCGUCACUCCUGCCCUCACCCCUCUCUCCCUCUCUGCUUUCUCCCUUCUGACCCCCGUUUUCGGCCGUUCGCCUGUGUGGGUCGCGGACUGGGCUGCAGGCUCGGAGCGACGGCACACGACGCCCCACGCCCUGCACAGCGGAGUAGAUGGGUGGGGGAUACUAACUCGAUGUGAGUGAGAGAGUGUGUAAUGCAACUGCUAUCGAUAUCGGUACGAAAUAUAAAUCUUUAAGUGCG